rnacentral:tRNA from 1 species
AGGAUCUUAGCUCAGCUGGUUAGAGCGCCUGCUUCACACGCAGGAGGUCGUUGGUUCGAGUCCAAUAGGUCCUA